rnacentral:lncRNA from 1 species
GCAAGGUGGCACCAUGGGUCCUCCUGGAGGGCUGCCCUGGCUUACGUAGAAUGGGGUUUCCACCUCAGUGGUCCUGUGGGACACUGGACAUCCUGAGGCUCAGGGAGGAGAGGAGGGCUGUUGUCUGGUUUUUGGAGAGGGGGGCCUGAGGGGCUUGGAGGUGAACCGGGCAGACAUGGCAGGUCUGUCGGGUGCGGCUGACUCAGCAGGCUCUGUGUGGGACUCUAGCAUGGGCCCUUCCUUGGACUGGCCGCUUCUGUUAGAAUCCCGACAGGGACUUCCUGGGACUGCCGCGGUAUGGUGGUGCCUGUGGACAUUGUCCAGAACCUUACCCAGGGGCUCUAUGUGUCAGACCUGCUUAGACUUCAGCCCUGUCUCGUGUGGCUCUGAGUGUGCCUCUCCCGUUGACCGGCCGGGUUUGCACUGUGGGGCCUCCUUGGGUACCAGUCUUCAUGAUCUAGUCUCAGACUGCAGGGCCCGGGUUUGUCAGGCACAGGUGCCUUAGUGAUUAUGGCCAUACUGCGUCCCCACAGCUGGUCUCCCAUUGGUGUGUGGGGUGGGAGGAAGGCCCUCAUGAAACAGGCCAUGUAGGGGAUUGGACCUCGAGGUGGUGGGUGGGAGGAUCCAGCUUCCUGGUGGGGAAGAACACAUUGAUUUCUCGCCUUUUUAAAAUCCCAAAACCAUAGCCAGCAGAGGCACCUAUAAAAGUUUCCAGAAACACCUUCCCUGCACCCUUCUCUCCACGUAGUGGCAUGGGAGAUGUCUGUGAGAGACAUCACAGUUCCCGGAGUCAGCCAGCUGCUCCUCUCCUAGGCUUUCCUAGAAAAUCUGUAGCCUUUGGGGCUGGUAGCACUAGGCAGAGGAGCCGAUUCCCCAGUCCACACCCAGGACCGUGCCUUCUGCAGACCUCCUCUCCCACUGUUCGUGUCAGCCCUGUUCUACACUGUGCCCUGUUUCUGAGCCACUGAGCAUCCUCUGGCUCCAGCAGAGAAAGUUCUGGGGCUGAGCCACGUCUGGGCUUGGCUGGCUGUCAGGCACUGGGGCCUUGGCCGCAAGCCCCACUAGCCCACAUAGCCUUACCCACCACUGCUCGUCACUAUAGAUUCCCUGGUGAGCUUCCUGCUCCUUUAGCCUCAUUGCCACUGUCAUCAGGUGCAGUGCUGUUUGUUUGCAGUGGUGGUGUGGGCAUGGUGUCACUAAGGAGAAAAUUGGGGCUUCGUUUAACCAGACCUUCAGUCCUGUUACCAAUCUGGCUCAAUUAAGGUGAUUGUCAUUAUUAUUGUUGUUAUUAUGGUGGAGCAAUCUUUAAUUUUCUAAAGAUAGCACUAGCAUCAGCUCAUUAGCCACCCUGCGCCCAUCCCCACCUCAGCCUGGUUGGAUGACAGCUGCCACCGAUGGUCACGUGACUUCACCCUGCAGCUCCUGGGCCAUAUCCCUCAUCUGGGUGACCACCCUGCUCGGAGGUUCAGUUGGGGCUCCCGUGGCUGAGAAGCGAAGAUGGCCGGCAGGGCCUGUGGCAGCUGCUGGCCCAUUGUCACCCCCGAUACCACAGUCACUGGGGGAAUUUGGCCCCACACCCUCAGUUUUCCAAACUGCAGCAUCCCCAGGGAUACUGGGCGACUUGGUGACAGCGCCAAGAGACACCCAAGUCCCCUCCCCUGGCAUCCCAGGAUACCUGGCCAAAGCAGGCAGCCAAUGGCUAGUCAUUGCCAUCCCCAUCGUAGAACUGGGGCAUGUGACCUGGUCCCCGUGCACACAGGUGUGUGGCGUGAGCACGGGCUGUGGAGACUGCAGAGGCGACGGGAGAUUCGGCCCAGUUACUGAUGUUUGUGUUCCUUUUAAUCAAGACUUUCCCUUUUUCCUGUACAUUUGCUUCUUGUGAGCAAGGACCCGAGGUCCCCCUCUGUCGGGAGUCGGGCUCUGGUGACUCUGGAGGCAGGGGCUGCAUCUAUUUUCAGAUGCUUCGGGCUGGAGUGCCCUGAUGUCUAGCCAUGCCUUAGCUGGGCUGUGCGGCCACCGUGGGGAGGAUGCGGCGUCCGCAGGGAGGAAAGAUAGAGGAUGUUUAACGCACCGGGAAGGGUAAAUGAAUCUAUUUUUGUACAAAUGUAAUUUUAUCCCUCAUGUAAACUGGAUAGCGUGGCGGGGGACCUGUUUUGUUUCUGCUUUGAGUGUCAAGAAGCGUUGGGACACCCUGACGCCCAGGCGGCAGAGGAGGCCCUCACCAGGAGGCUGAAGGCUCCUGAGAACAGCACAGACAGACACUUCCUUUGGUGGGAGGGAGGGCCACCGGGCAGGGUUUCCUUCCCCUUCUUGGUGAUUUGAACAACCUCGCUCUGCCCUCGGUGCCUGCCUGCCGGCCUUGCUGCAGCUCGUCUGACUGUGAACUGACUUCCCCGCGUAACUGCUCUCUGGGACAUUGUGGUGCAGACGCCGGGGGUUGAUGAACAGCAGUCUCAGGAUUGUAGAAAAGAAACAAAGACGUGAGAGGAGAGAGAAAUAUGAGCGUUUCAAAAUAUAUCUCCAUUCGGUUCUCAUCUG